rnacentral:rRNA from 1 species
GACGAACGCUGGCGGCGUGCCUAAUACAUGCAAGUAGAACGCUGAAGGAGGAGCUUGCUUCUCCGGAUGAGUUGCGAACGGGUGAGUAACGCGUAGGUAACCUGCCUGGUAGCGGGGGAUAACUAUUGGAAACGAUAGCUAAUACCGCAUAAGAGUAGAUGUUGCAUGACAUUUGCUUAAAAGGUGCAAUUGCACCACUACCAGAUGGACCUGCGUUGUAUUAGCUAGUUGGUGGGGUAACGGCUCACCAAGGCGACGAUACAUAGCCGACCUGAGAGGGUGAUCGGCCACACUGGGACUGAGACACGGCCCAGACUCCUACGGGAGGCAGCAGUAGGGAAUCUUCGGCAAUGGACGGAAGUCUGACCGAGCAACGCCGCGUGAGUGAAGAAGGUUUUCGGAUCGUAAAGCUCUGUUGUAAGAGAAGAACGAGUGUGAGAGUGGAAAGUUCACGCUGUGACGGUAUCUUACCAGAAAGGGACGGCUAACUACGUGCCAGCAGCCGCGGUAAUACGUAGGUCCCGAGCGUUGUCCGGAUUUAUUGGGCGUAAAGCGAGCGCAGGCGGUUAGAUAAGUCUGAAGUUAAAGGCUGUGGCUUAACCAUAGUACGCUUUGGAAACUGUUUAACUUGAGUGCAAGAGGGGAGAGUGGAAUUCCAUGUGUAGCGGUGAAAUGCGUAGAUAUAUGGAGGAACACCGGUGGCGAAAGCGGCUCUCUGGCUUGUAACUGACGCUGAGGCUCGAAAGCGUGGGGAGCAAACAGG